AAUAGAUGAUGUUUUAGAGAGUUUUUGAUGUUUCAAAAUAGAUGAUGUUUUCAUAUUUCAAGGUAUCUUUUAACUUUAUCAAAAACUGUGUAACCAAUUAUAUUUUGUAGUAUGUUUUGUGAUUGGUUGAAUAAUUUUUAAUUUAUAUUUUAGUGAUACUUUUUAGAUAAAAAACAAGUUUUUUAGUAUUUGUGUCCCAACCUAAAACUUCAUGUAUUUUGAAACAGAGGGAGUCAAGAAAGUCCAUAUAAAAC
rnacentral:lncRNA from 1 species